GCUAACUCGGGAAAAGGUAAAACAGUUGGAGGUGCAGCCAGUGAUAGCUUCUGGCUCAGCCCGGUUCGCUGGUCAGGAGGUGGGACAACGAGGGCCUUAGCUGUUUGCUAUGCAACGGAACCAGGGCUGCACACCACAGCUUUGAGAAUAAUUUGCUCCACCGCUAUUGUGCGGUCUUUGAACGUCGUGGCUGAUGCAUUGUGGUUCAACACGGAUCACAUUACUUUGGAGGCUCACGAUAAAGACUACGAUAUACGUAGUGAAGAUGAUGAAGCAUGCGAGUAUUAUGUACAUCUCGGUACAGCUUUUCCAAGCCGAUCGUUAUCUGCUACAGUGGAAGUUUUGAAUCACAGUCCAGUAACGUAUCCCUAUUACUGGAGUGUAAGACCCUGGGGAGUUUGUUCCUGUUGGACCACAUCUCAAACCUCACUGUUCGGAGAAGAUGACUUAUGUGAUGAGGCGAAGUUCAA